rnacentral:rRNA from 1 species
AGUGAACGCUGGCGGUAGGCCUAACACAUGCGAGUCGAACGGCAGCACAGUAAGAGCUUGCUCUUACGGGUGGCGAGUGGCGGACGGGUGAGGAAUACAUCGGAAUCUACUUUUUCGUGGGGGAUAACGUAGGGAAACUUACGCUAAUACCGCAUACGACCUACGGGUGAAAGCAGGGGAUCUUUGGACCUUGCGCGAUUGAAUGAGCCGAUGUCGGAUUAGCUAGUUGGCGGGGUAAAGGCCCACCAAGGCGACGAUCCGUAGCUGGUCUGAGAGGAUGAUCAGCCACACUGGAACUGAGACACGGUCCAGACUCCUACGGGAGGCAGCAGUGGGGAAUAUUGGACAAUGGGCGCAAGCCUGAUCCAGCCAUACCGCGUGGGUGAAGAAGGCCUUCGGGUUGUAAAGCCCUUUUGUUGGGAAAGAAAAGCAGCAGGUUAAUACCCCGCUGUUCUGACGGUACCCAAAGAAUAAGCACCGGCUAACUUCGUG